GCGCGCCGUGGCCGACGGCCUCCGUGGUGCUCGGGUGGCCGAUGCGGCCGGUGUGCAUGAGCUGGGCGACGAUCGUCCCGCCGGCCGCGUGC
rnacentral:tRNA from 1 species